rnacentral:rRNA from 1 species
UACGUAGGGUCCGAGCGUUGUCCGGAAUUAUUGGGCGUAAAGGGCUCGUAGGCGGUUUGUUGCGUCGGGGAGUGAAAACUUACAGCUUAACUGUGAGCGUGCUUCCGAUACGGGCAGACUUGAGGUAUUCAGGGGAGAACGGAAUUCCUGGUGUAGCGGUGAAAUGCGCAGAUAUCAGGAGGAACACCGGUGGCGAAGGCGGUUCUCUGGGAAUAUCCUGACGCUGAGGAGCGAAAGUGUGGGGAGGCGAACAGG